AGUAACUAGAUGGCUUGAUUAUAAUGAAAUCCGUUAGGUUCAGGAAGGUGUCCACAAACAAAACUAUUAAUUGUUGUUAAUUGUUGCUGUUAAUUAGAAUAGCGAUAUAAUACACCUUCCUGAACCUAACGGAUUUCAUUAUAAUCAAGCCAUCUAGUUAU
rnacentral:miRNA from 1 species